UCUUCUUCCUUUCUUCUUCAUCCUCCCCUUCUUUGUUGUUGCCACCUCCUCACGCCAGCCUUGACCAGCCAUCACUCCACCUCUCGAUCCCGCACCACCCUCACCACCUCACCGCCCAACCGUCCUCCUCUGCCCACAAGUAGCCCCGCCACGCCAGCCCAACCAAGACCGUUCGGCCAACUCAAGCAGAAUAGAAUCCCAGCUCAAGGCUGUGAGCUUGUGAGCCAUUUUUCAGCCCCAUCCGACCCUCCGUUGGAGAAAUCGUAGGCACGGGAUCUCACCGCCGUCGCGCCACCGUAGCCGUGGACCUUUUAUCUUGCUAAUCCAGGAGGUACCAAGGCGAUGUAAGUUGUGAGUGAUGCAUGUUUAGGCUGCCUCUAGGUGAAUUUUCAUCUUAAUCGGGGUUUAGGGUGUGGACUCGCUGAGAUUUCUUCUCACCCCGUCGUGGUUAACUUUUUCAAAUCCCUAGGAUGGAGAAUCCGGAGCUCGAGGUGAAAGGGUCCGGGGUGUGGAUUGUCUGGUAGUUUCUUUUUGAAACAGACCUCUGUAUAUAAAGUGUGUUUUGUAAAAAUUGGUUGUCCUACUUUUCUAUCCCAUGUUUGAUUGUUGUCUGGGGUUUAUUAGUUCACUUCCGCAUGUACAUAAAACAAAAGGGUCAGCGACGCGUCCUAGGAUGUCGCAAAUUCUAUCGACCAUCGAGGGAUGUUCAUACGCUCGAGGUUCGGAACGUGACAAAUAUGUUCUCUUUCUUUUUUAUUCUUUGAUUCCAAGCUUGAAAGAGGAGAUGCAAAUAUACUUUUCUCUUCUCCCA